rnacentral:rRNA from 1 species
AGGAUGAACGCUGGCGGCGUGCCUAAUACAUGCAAGUCGAACGAGGUCUUCGGACCGAGUGGCGAACGGGUGAGUAACACGUUGGUACCUACCCCGAAGUGGGGAAUAACUGCCCGAAAGGGUGGCUAAUACCGCAUAAUACCGCAAGGUUAAAGCAGUAAUGCGCUUCGGGAGGGGCCUGCGUCCCAUUAGCUAGUUGGUAGGGUAAUGGCCUACCAAGGCGACGAUGGGUAGCUGGAUCGAGAGGUUGACCAGCCACACUGGGACUGAGAUACGGCCCAGACUCCUACGGGAGGCAGCAGUAAGGAAUCUUCCACAAUGGACGAAAGUCUGAUGGAGCAACGCCGCGUGCAGGAUGACGGCCUUCGGGUUGUAAACUGCUUUUAUAUGGAAGAUUAUGACGGUACCAUAUGAAUAAGGACCGGCUAACUACGCGCCAGCAGCCGC